CCAGUGCAGUGUCAGGGAGCAGACCUGCGGAAAACCUUCAUCUAACAAAGCUUUGUCAUCUCAGGACUCUGAGGCCCAGUUGACUGCUUGAUAAACAGUGCAACAUUUCCCAGGUGCUCCACAGACCCACAUGGAUGGAUAAAGACCAGCAACACAAUAGAGGAUGCUGGUAAGCCUUGGAAGGACUGUGUAGCCAACCCCUGAAAGGAAAAAUUCUGUAUUUCCUUACUUCUGUCACCCUACAGCAGUCGCUAAACCUGCAACAAGGUGGAUGUGUCACGGAGAAUGUUGGGGACAACCUGAACUCAGAAAAUGAGGAAUCAAGCAAAAGGUCACAUGCAAAAGAAGUCUAAAAUUAAAACAAACUCUCACACCACAACUCAAGAAUGAGAGACAAGACUUUGCCACUUGGCUAAGGUCACCGGGAUAAACCAGGUGGUACUACACAUGGGUGAAAACA